rnacentral:rRNA from 1 species
CUCACUCCGGGAGGAGGACACCGGUAGCCGGGCAGUUUGACUGGGGCGGUACGGGCUUGAAAAGAUAUCGAGCCCGCCCCAAGGCCACCUCAGCCGAGUCGGAAACUCGGCGGAGAGCGCAAGAGCAAAAGGUGGCUUGACAGUGUUCUUCCCAACGAGGAACGCUGACGCGAAAGCGUGGUCUAGCGAACUUUUGCGCCUGCUUGAUGCGGGCCAAAAAUGACAGAAAAGCUACCCUAGGGAUAACAGAGUCGUCACCCGCAAGAGCACAUAUCGACCGGGUGGCUUGCUACCUCGAUGUCGGUUCCCUCCAUCCUGCCCGUGCAGAAGCGGGCAAGGGUGAGGUUGUUCGCCUAUUAAAGGAGGUCGUGAGCUGGGUUUAGACCGUCGUGAGACAGGUCGGCUGCUAUCUAUUGGGGGUGUAUUGGUGUCUGACGGGAACGCCCGUAUAGUACGAGAGGAACUACGGGUGGUGGCCACUGGUUUACCGGUUGUUCGAGAGAGCACUGCCGGGCGGCUACGCCACACGGGGUAACGGCUGAACGCAUCUAAGCCGGAAACCCACCUGGAAAAGAGACACCGCUGAGACCACUCGUACAAGACGAGAUCAAUAGACUCGGGGUGUACGCGUCGAGGCAACGAGACGUUCAGCCUGCGAGUACUAACUGGUCGAAGC